CGCGGGUGGAGCAGCUUGGUAGCUCGUCGGGCUCAUAACCCGAAGGCCGUCGGUUCAAAUCCGGCCCCCGCAACCA
rnacentral:tRNA from 1 species